UAUGGGGAGUUUUGACAUUUUGACACAAUAAAAAACACUUACCAUAGCUUAGUCCAGGCAAUAGAACCAAAAUAGCAAGAAUCAUCUUCAUAUUUCAAAUCAUCAAGACAAAUACGUAGUAAAUGAAAGAACUAUUGGAAACCUACAGGAAAUGGAGCGUGCAUGGGUGUUGACUUUCUAGUGAGGAAAUGAAGUAAAAUGUUUCACUUCACUUUGUACCAAACCCAGGUUUAGCAAUCCUGUGUUAGACAACAUGUGUGGUGUAGGAAUUCCAGAGUUAGGUCUCAGUAAAGAAAUAAAUAAGGAUGUGCAUAAAAAUAAGCAUGGUUUUGAGCUGAGACCAUACCAGCGUACUUCCUGCGUGCCACGUUUCCCAGCGCCCGGUAGGGGUCGAUAUACUCCUGAGGCGACUGCAGGGGUGUGUGCACGGCCUGAAAAGAGAGGAAGAUAAACAGGGGCUGGGCCUUGGGGUCGUGAGUGGCCAGGAUCUUGCGUACUCUGCGGGUGUACAGUGCGGUCUUAUUAUCGCUGCAGUCUAUGAAUCCUGAAUCACACCUGAAGAGUGACACCACGCAGUCGCCCCAGGAUACCAGAGGCUGAUAAGAUCUCCACUGAGCGUCAAAGAGCCACUUUAACAGAGCUCCAGAGGGCCCAC